rnacentral:rRNA from 1 species
UACGUAGGGUGCAAGCGUUGUCCGGAUUUAUUGGGCGUAAAGAGCUCGUAGGCGGCUUGUCGCGUCGACCGUGAAAACUCGCAGCUCAACUGCGAGCCUGCGGUCGAUACGGGCAGGCUAGAGUUCGGUAGGGGAGACUGGAAUCCUGGUGUAGCGGUGAAAUGCGCAGAUAUCAGGAGGAACACCGAUGGCGAAGGCAGGUCUCUGGGCCGAUACUGACGCUGAGGAGCGAAAGCGUGGGGAGCGAACAGG